rnacentral:piRNA from 1 species
UCCAGAGUACAAACCCUACUGACCCCAGAU